rnacentral:rRNA from 1 species
UACGUAGGGUGCGAGCGUUGUCCGGAAUUAUUGGGCGUAAAGAGCUCGUAGGCGGUGUGUCGCGUCGGCCGUGAAAACCUGGGGCUCAACUCUGGGCGUGCGGUCGAUACGGGCAUCACUUGAGUUCGGCAGGGGAGACUGGAAUUCCUGGUGUAGCGGUGAAAUGCGCAGAUAUCAGGAGGAACACCAGCGGCGAAGGCGGCGCUCUGGGCCGGUACUGACACUGAGGAGCGAAAGCGUGGGUAGCAAACAGG